ACCCUAAUGCUGGAAUUUGGUAGACAGAAGGUAGUUAAGAUAUCUCGAGCUUAACUCGUGAGUGUUCAAGUCACUCUUAGGGUA
rnacentral:tRNA from 1 species